AAGUCGUAACAAGGUUUCCGUAGGUGAACCUGCGGAAGGAUCAUUAACACGUAUCCAACGUUAAACCCCCCGUGAACUUUUAUUGCGAACCACGCCUUUGUUAAAAAGUAGCAAUCCCUGGUAAAUCAUCGCCGAAUAAGUGGCCUGGCAUUCCUCUGCUUGUUAGUGUCUGACAGUGUCACUAGCUCUGUACGAAUGGCGCAGUCACGAUCGCUGGAGGCCGACACGGCCGGCGACCGGGUCACCGGGCAUAGACCCCCCUAUCACCUUUGCAUGAAAACGGGCCUGCGCUUAAUUGUGCGGCCACCAAACUCGAACAACUGUUAACAAUGGAUAUCUUGGUUCUC
rnacentral:misc_RNA from 1 species